CGUAGGUGGCGAGCGUUGUCCGGAAUUAUUGGGCGUAAAGGGAGCGCAGGCGGGAGGUCAAGUCUAUCUUAAAAGUGCGGGGCUCAACCCCGUGAGGGGAUGGAAACUGGUCUUCUUGAGUGCAGGAGAGGAAAGCGGAAUUCCUAGUGUAGCGGUGAAAUGCGUAGAUAUUAGGAGGAACACCAGUUGGCGAAGGCGGCUUUCUGGACUGUAACUGACGCUGAGGCUCGAAAGCGUGGGGAGCGA
rnacentral:rRNA from 1 species